rnacentral:sRNA from 1 species
AAGUCAAUUUCACAGAUAUGUUGAUAGGGCCAAAAAAAAAACAGAAUUAGGGUAACAAAAAAAACGAAAGAAAAAUCAGAAGUUGAAAGAGCCAGUACUUGGGAACAUUCUUCGCGGGAAAUGUACUUCCGCAAAGUGUCUGACAUGAAUUUGGCCUUCUCUUCUCUCUGCGCCGUGAGCAUUGCCUGUUGAAAGUUAAACUUGAUUUUGAAUCAAGUUUAAUUAUUGGAUCAAUUAUCCAAUAAUUAAUUAUGGUCAAAUCCAAGUUCUAGAGUUUUCUCUAGAAAUAUCAUCAUUUCCACCUCCUUAAAAGAUUCUAGAAAUUUUCUAGAAUCAUCUUCCACCUCCUUAAACAUAAAAAUCUAGAUACUCUAAUAGAAUAAUCUAGAUAAUUUGAAUAAUGUAAUCUAGAUCUUAUGUAAGAACUCUCUAGACUUAGGAUUAAAAUAUUUUAGAUAUUUUGUAGUUUGGAGGCUAUAAAUACUUCCUCCCCCUCUCAAAUGUUGCAAUGUUGUGAAGUUGUAUUCAAGUUUAAAGCAAAGUAAUAAAAGUUCUAUUUCCUAAAAAACUCUCUCAAAACACUUAAACACUUUCUCCAUUACCUCUAAAAGAAUUUUACUCUAACAAAGUGGUAUCAGAGCUUGAAGAUCCUAAAGAUGGCGAGUAACAAUGUUCCCUUCCAAGUCCCGGUGCUCACAAAGAGCAACUAUGAUAAUUGGAGUCUACGAAUGAAGGCUAUCCUAGGAGCACAUGACGUGUGGGAGAUAGUCGAGAAAGGUUUCAUUGAACCGGAGAAUGAAGGUAGUCUUUCUCAAACUCAAAAAGAUGGUUUGAGAGACUCAAGAAAGAGAGACAAGAAAGCUCUCUGUCUAAUCUAUCAAGGAUUAGAUGAAGAUACGUUCGAGAAGGUCGUUGAAGCUACGUCGGCGAAAGAAGCAUGGGAGAAGCUUCGAACCUCUUACAAAGGUGCCGAUCAAGUCAAGAAAGUACGUCUUCAAACUCUAAGAGGAGAAUUUGAAGCACUACAAAUGAAAGAAGGUGAACUUGUCUCCGAUUACUUCUCAAGAGUGUUGACGGUUACUAAUAACCUUAAAAGAAAUGGAGAGAAGCUAGAUGAUGUGAGAAUCAUGGAGAAAGUUCUUAGAUCAUUGGAUCUAAAAUUUGAGCAUAUUGUCACCGUCAUUGAAGAAACAAAAGAUUUAGAAGCUAUGACAAUAGAGCAACUUCUUGGGUCAUUACAAGCUUAUGAAGAAAAGAAGAAGAAGAAAGAAGAUAUCAUCGAACAAGUCCUCAAUAUGCAAAUUACAAAAGAAGAAAACGGCCAAAGUUACCAAAGAAGAGGUGGUGGUCAAGUACGAGGACGAGGUCGUGGUGGAUAUGGAAAUGGACGUGGUUGGAGGCCACAUGAAGACAACACAAACCAAAGAGGUGAAAACUCAUCAAGAGGUCGUGGGAAAGGACACCCAAAAUCAAGAUACGAUAAAUCAAGUGUCAAAUGCUACAAUUGUGGGAAGUUUGGACAUUAUGCUUCUGAAUGUAAAGCUCCUAGCAACAAAAAAUUUGAGGAGAAGGCCAACUACGUUGAAGAAAAAAUUCAAGAAGAAGACAUGUUAUUAAUGGCUAGCUACAAGAAAGAUGAACAAGAAGAGAAUCAUAAGUGGUACCUCGAUAGUGGUGCAAGUAAUCACAUGUGCGGGAGAAAAAGUAUGUUCGCGGAGCUUGAUGAAUCGGUGAGAGGAAAUGUGGCUUUAGGAGAUGAAUCGAAGAUGGAGGUAAAAGGUAAAGGAAACAUUCUCAUUCGAUUGAAGAAUGGAGAUCAUCAAUUUAUUUCCAACGUUUACUAUAUUCCGAGCAUGAAGACAAACAUCUUGAGCCUUGGACAACUCUUAGAGAAAGGUUAUGAUAUUAGAUUAAAAGAUAAUAACCUUUCAAUAAGAGACCAAGAAAGCAAUCUCAUUACCAAGGUGCCAAUGUCGAAAAAUAGAAUGUUUGUCCUCAACAUUCGAAAUGACAUUGCACAAUGUCUUAAGAUGUGUUACAAAGAGGAGUCUUGGCUAUGGCAUCUUCGAUUCGGACAUCUAAAUUUUGGAGGAUUGGAGUUGCUUUCAAGGAAGGAAAUGGUGAGAGGGCUACCUUGUAUAAAUCAUCCAAAUCAAGUGUGUGAAGGAUGUCUACUUGGAAAGCAAUUCAAAAUGAGCUUUCCAAAGGAGUCAAGUUCAAGAGCACAAAAAUCGUUGGAGCUAAUACAUACCGAUGUGUGUGGUCCAAUCAAGCCGAAAUCACUUGGUAAAAGUAAUUACUUCCUUCUCUUUAUUGAUGAUUUUUCAAGAAAAACAUGGGUAUAUUUUUUGAAAGAAAAAUCCGAGGUGUUCGAAAUUUUCAAAAAGUUUAAAGCCCAUGUUGAGAAGGAGAGUGGUCUUGUGAUCAAAACCAUGAGAUCCGACCGUGGAGGAGAAUUUACAUCCAAGGAGUUUCUUAAGUAUUGUGAAGACAACGGCAUUCGAAGACAAUUAACGGUGCCAAGAUCCCCUCAACAAAAUGGUGUAGCGGAAAGAAAGAAUAGAACAAUUCUUGAGAUGGCAAGGAGCAUGCUCAAAAGUAAGAGACUACCAAAAGAGUUGUGGGCGGAAGCGGUCGCGUGUGCGGUUUAUCUAUUAAAUCGAUCUCCAACAAAAAGUGUCUCCGGAAAAACACCACAAGAAGCUUGGAGCGGAAGAAAGUCCGGUGUUUCUCAUUUAAGAGUCUUUGGAAGUAUUGCUCAUGCUCAUGUACCGGAUGAGAAGCGGAGCAAACUAGAUGACAAAAGUGAGAAGUAUAUCUUCAUUGGUUAUGAUAACAACUCCAAAGGCUACAAGCUCUAUAAUCCCGAUACGAAGAAGACAAUUAUUAGUCGAAAUAUAGUGUUCGAUGAAGAAGGAGAAUGGGAUUGGAACUCAAAUGAAGAAGAUUAUAACUUCUUUCCACAUUUUGAAGAAGAUGAGCCGGAGCCAACAAGAGAGGAGCCACCAAGUGAAGAGCCUACUACACCACCAACUUCACCAACAAGUUCUCAAAUAGAAGAAAGUUCGAGUGAAAGGACUCCGCGUUUUAGAAGUAUACAAGAGCUCUAUGAGGUAACCGAAAAUCAAGAAAACCUUACCUUAUUUUGUUUAUUUGCGGAGUGCGAACCCAUGGAUUUCCAAGAAGCCAUUGAAAAGAAGACUUGGAGAAAUGCCAUGGAUGAAGAGAUCAAAUCAAUACAAAAGAAUGACACAUGGGAGUUAACUUCACUUCCAAAUGGACACAAGACAAUUGGCGUGAAGUGGGUGUAUAAAGCAAAGAAAAACUCUAAAGGAGAAGUGGAAAGAUACAAAGCAAGAUUGGUUGCAAAAGGUUAUAUUCAAAGAGCCGGAAUUGACUAUGACGAGGUAUUUGCUCCCGUUGCUCGUCUAGAAACGGUUAGACUAAUCAUCUCACUAGCGGCUCAAAACAAGUGGAAGAUACAUCAAAUGGAUGUCAAGUCGGCCUUCUUAAAUGGAGAUCUUGAAGAAGAAGUUUACAUUGAGCAACCACAAGGCUACAUAGUCAAAGGUGAAGAAGACAAAGUCUUGAGGCUAAAAAAGGCGCUUUAUGGAUUAAAACAAGCCCCAAGAGCUUGGAAUACUCGAAUUGACAAGUAUUUCAAGGAGAAAGAUUUCAUCAAGUGUCCAUAUGAGCAUGCACUCUAUAUCAAAAUUCAAAAAGAAGAUAUAUUGAUCGCAUGCUUAUAUGUAGAUGAUUUGAUAUUCACGGGUAACAAUCCAAGCAUGUUCGAAGAAUUCAAGAAAGAGAUGACAAAGGAGUUCGAGAUGACGGACAUUGGAUUGAUGUCUUACUAUCUCGGAAUUGAAGUAAAACAAGAAGACAAUGGAAUAUUCAUAACUCAAGAAGGCUAUGCUAAGGAGGUACUUAAGAAGUUCAAGAUGGAUGACUCAAAUCCCGUUUGUACACCAAUGGAAUGCGGAAUCAAACUAUCAAAGAAAGAAGAAGGGGAAGGAGUGGAUCCAACAACCUUUAAGAGCUUGGUUGGAAGCUUGAGAUACUUAACAUGCACAAGGCCCGAUAUUUUAUAUGCGGUCGGAGUUGUUAGUCGUUACAUGGAGCAUCCAACAACAACUCAUUUCAAAGCGGCAAAAAGGAUUCUUCGCUAUAUCAAAGGUACCGUAAACUUUGGCUUACAUUAUUCAACUACUAGUGAUUACAAGCUUGUUGGAUAUAGCGAUAGCGAUUGGGGUGGAGACGUAGAUGACCGAAAGAGUACAAGUGGUUUUGUGUUUUACAUUGGAGACACGGCUUUCACAUGGAUGUCGAAGAAACAACCAAUUGUCGUUCUAUCCACUUGUGAAGCGGAGUAUGUAGCGGCUACGUCAUGUGUAUGCCAUGCUAUUUGGUUAAGAAACCUCUUGAAGGAGUUAAGCUUACCACAAGAGGAACCAACGAAGAUCUUUGUGGAUAACAAGUCGGCAAUAGCUUUGGCGAAGAACCCGGUCUUCCAUGAUCGAAGUAAACACAUUGACACACGCUAUCACUACAUUAGAGAGUGUGUUAGCAAGAAGGACGUGCAAUUGGAGUAUGUGAAGACACAUGAUCAAGUAGCCGAUAUUUUUACCAAGCCUCUCAAGCGUGAAGACUUUAUCAAGAUGAGGAGUUUGCUUGGAGUAGCAAAAUCAAGUUUAAGAGGGGGUGUUGAAUGUUAAACUUGAUUUUG